AUGUGCAAGAUUUAAUACCAAAUGGACUUAAUAUAGUUAUUGUUAUAGAAGAGACCAAACUCGAAUAUAUUAGAGGCUCGUGUGUCAAAUAAAAAUAAUUGGAGCCAUUCCUACAGGUCGAACGCAUUCUUGGAAGACUUUUAUGAUAUACUGAAACUACUGAUUUCCAUAUUUAAUGAACAAGGAUUUGAACUAUAGAUCAGCAGCUUGCCUAAUGUAGAUAUCGAGGAUCUUAAAGCAAAUAUUGAGCAUCAUAAAUACACUGCUACGUCUUUACAGAUUCAAUAGUUCUGGCGUGCAUUACGAGGUUUAGAUCAAGCGGAUCAUGCGAAGUUCUUACAAUUCGCUCCUGGUACGUUCAAAGUGCCGUUACAAGGUUUCGCCGCGUUGGAAGGCACGGACGGUGUACAAAAGUUCCAAAUUCACAGAGAAGAUAGGUCAACAGACAGGCUUCCAUCUGCACAUACUUGUUUCAGUCAACUGGAUCUGCCAGUGUACGGGGCGUAUGAUAAACUUCAUACAAAUCUACUCGAGGCGUUUCAUGAAUGCAGCGAAGGAUUUGGAUUUGCAUAAGCUUGUUGGAGCGCUAUUGUGUAGCAGUUUUUCACACAUGUGUUGUCCAGCCUGUUCGGAGUAAACAGUUAUAAGAAUGUCAUUCAAUCGAUGACAUUCUAAUGACACGCUUGGUCUUCGUUCAAGAUCCAUUGAAAAAUUUGUUUAACUUGAUAUAUACACGGAAAAAACAAACAUGAUUGAAUUAACAAGCUAUAUUUAGUUAUACAAAUUUUGGUAGGUGUUUCAUUGAAAGCUUAUACGGUUUAUACAAACAAA
rnacentral:lncRNA from 13 species